rnacentral:rRNA from 1 species
CCUACGGGGGGCAGCAGUCGGGAAUAUUGCGCAAUGGAGGAAACUCUGACGCAGUGACGCCGCGUAUAGGAAGAAGUUUUUCGGAAUGUAAACUAUUGUCGUUAGGGAAGAGAAAGGACAGUACCUAAGGAGGAAGCUCCGGCUAACUACGUGCCAGCAGCCGCGGUAAUACGUAGGGAGCGAGCGUUAUCCGGAUUUACUGGGUGUAAAGGGCGUGUAGGCGGGAGAGCAAGUCAGACGUGAAAUUCCAGGGCUCAACCCUGGAACUGCGUUUGAAACUGUUCUUCUUGAGUGAUGGAGAGGCA